AUUCAUGCCCUUGUCGAAAUCACAUAGGGAGAGACACAUAAUCAUAACACCAAACAUUAGACUUCUUGUUACAACUACCAAGUUCUUCGAUGUCUAAAUUUGGGAAACACGAAUGGUCGCCGGAAGAGAAGUCCACAAUCCAAUCUCUUUUAGAAGUCAAAUUACCAGUGGAUCACAUUUCUUCUCGGCCGGGGACGGGAGGUGCGAAGGUGUCGUACAUUGAAAGUUGGAAGGCAAUUGAGUUGGCGAAUGCCAUCUUUGGAUAUAACGGAUGGAGCAGCAGUAUCGUGGACAUUACUCCGGACUUCAUCGAUCAGGAGGCGGGAAAAUACCGCGUAGGCAUAACAGCUGUUGUCAAAGUAACACUCAGGGAUGGUACAUUUCAUGAAGACGUAGGCUACGGCACGCAUGAGAACAGAAACAAGGCGUUGGCUAUCGAAAACGCAAAAAAAGAGGCCGUCAGCGAUGCCAGAAAGAGGGCACUGAGGGUGUUUGGAAAUGCUCUGGGAAAUUCUGUAUAUGAUCGUAUACAUGUUGGCCAAGAAGUGAAACAGAAAAAGAGCAAUAAUUUGCUGUCCUCACCUAUUUCUUAUGAUGGGCUGAGGAAUAGUUUAAAGCUUGAUAGUAUGCGUAGAGGGGCUAAAAACGACCCUAAGAUGGAUUUAGAAUGUCUAGCGGAUCAGGAUCAAUUUAUUCAAACAAAUUUAUUGGAGAUAUCGUCCAAGGCAUCAUCCAUUAAAACGUUGGAUCGUAUAGAUGUACAAUUCCACAGCUUAAAAGGUCGCCAAGAAAAUAAUUCAAUGAAUAAUACGUUCUCAACAAAUUGUACUAAUUUUGAAUUCAAUACCGAUCCAGUCGAUCAUCUUUCAAAGCCUAUACAGCUGCAGCCUUCUUUGGCACCGUUUGAGAAAGUUGUAGUCUGCGAUCAGGGCGAGGCGCCACCCGUCCGUGCAAAGUGCUCCAAAUACGACGCCGUUGCAAGCACAAUGGAGUUCAUCAAAGAGGAUAUGGUAUUUGAUUUUGGAAGAUAAUCUCAUAUGUAUUAUUCGGCACAUCUAAAUUCCCAUGUUUUCGGGCAUUCUUCGGACAACAGCCGUGCAUAAAGGCAGAAUGACAAGAAUCGUGGUUUUUCAAGAGGGAAUUGUCGAAAUUUAUAAUAUGGUGUACCGACCUGGCAGCAGUCAGCUGCAGAAAAAAAUUGCAGGAGACUGGCGUCAGAGUAGGUCGCAUUCUACUGGGUUUGGUAGCAGAGAAAAUCCAUUCAUGAAAUGACUAAUCGACGGCUCCCUGGGUGAUAUGUCGUACACUGCUUCCUGGUACAACAUUACACAUUGUGUUUUUUUUUGUGGAGAGUUGCACACGACCGACCCCUCUGCGCACCAUUCCAAACUCAUCGCAGUGAGGUCUAAAAGAGUCUCGGCCUCUCAUGUAAAAGCCGUCGCUACUCCCAGGCUUUCUGGACAUGACGGUACAUGCUGUAUGUAAACCGCAGUAUCUGUGGGUCUGUGCGCUUCCACAAUGUCCUUGUCCUUGCGUGGCUAUCAUGACAAAAGAGAGCUAUAUGCACUUUCGCCGACCCCUUUUAUGGCACCCUGCUCCGCAGAGUAAUUUUGAGCCGUGUUUUUUGUAAAUAGAUACGCAUUCGAGUGCGAUAAAGCGAAGUCGCCAAUCAGAGCUGGACCUAUGAAUUGGGAGUCGCCCCAGCUACAGCCUGCUGCGACAAAGAUUCGAAGACAAACUGCUUAUGGCUCUCAGAAGACUUUGCUAUUCGGUAUUAUGAACCUUUGGUUCUUCAUUGUGUCUUAUGUUAUUAUCAACAACUUCACUGUUCAGUCUUUUCUAGAAAGAUACCUACCAAGCGCAUUGCAGUCGCUUGUGGUUGGCGUCGUUUAUGUCGCUUCUGGACUCUUUCUGUUGUCUGCCUUUGUCGCUUGUUAUCUCUACUUUACGUAUUGCAACUCGGCCGCUUCUUCAGCGGGUUUGGACAAGGACAGAGUGCUCGGCAGACAGGUAAGCUCGAAGCCCAUUUUGUCCUCGAGACUUUCUGUGCCGACUUUGUAUCCAUCGAAAGCUGUCUCCCCGAGAAAUGCCUCCCCUUCAGACAUGACAUCGUCGAAGUCGAUGUCGCCCGUGUCCCCGUCUUAUGCACAAUUUCAUAGUCCGUCCUCCUUCUUGCCCGGCGGAUUUGUAAAUCCCAUGAUUGAGGCCGAAAGGGUCAACCAAUCUAUCAACGCCAAUCGGUUGACGCCAGUCCGCUUGGGCGCCCUUGACGAACCGUCGCUCUAUUCGUACAUUCCCACUUCGCACCCGUCUAAUGCGCGGCCUUUUAACGUGUCCUUAUCUCCAAAGACGUUAGAAACUCCCAACAUGCUUUCUCCCGCGACCUCGGACUACGACCACCUUCAUUUGUACCACCCACCGAAUCUCGCCGUCCGCCGUCCGUCGAUGGACGGAAUCUCGCCCGGCGGUCACCAUCUUCUCCCGAAAAUGCCCCAAUAUCAAAGCAUGGUCCCGGCAGUCGGUCCCGACAAGCCCUCUAGCUUCCGCGACCGAGUCUCCGACGACAGCGCGGCAGACGCCCUCUAUCGACAGCUCGGCGUGUCCGCUUAUAUCGACGAUUGGUGCGAACGCCUGCGCAUGUGGAUAAGUGCCCGCAUACUCAAACCAGACGUCGAAUGGAUGAAAAAAAUCGAAGAUCAACUGGGCAAAGAAGCACUUUACCAAGCGCAGUUCUCCCAAGUCCAAUCCGGAGUCCACUCUCUUCAGCAUCAACAACAAUCGUCCACCUGGCCGUCCUUCUACUCACCGAAUCCACCCAUGUUCUCCGGUAUGGCGCCAACCCCACAACAACAACAGCCAUUUCUGGAAGAACGAAUCCACCUGGAAAGGUACUUCGGCGACUUCGGCAGCUCCCGAGAAUACGUUGUCGAGCGUAUCAGACAACUGGCCGAGGGAAUGUGCAUGAGCGCCUACUGCUGGAACGAAGGCGGGCGGUGGAAGGACAGGGAAUGGAAUCCGGAUCUUCCUACCGAUGCUCACAUUAUUGCUCAUUUGUUCUGCACGUUCAUGGAUUCAGUCAUGGUCUCGGACGACCCUGCUCACGCCCACGACACCUUCAAAUCCAAAUACUUCAUCACAACCAUCGACCAGCUAAAAUCCUCCAUAUCCAUUCUCCAAAAAACCACGAGUCCACCCUACUUCAACCUGGUCGUAGACAAACAAGAAUGGGAAAUCCUAAGAGGAAGAAACAACCUGUUUUCCACAAUAUGUCUGUUCGUCUUCUGUGUGAAAAAAAAAUACUCUGGAUAUCUCAAUCAGCUGUACUUGGGCGGCAGAAUCGGACUGCUAGAAGUCAUUUCUACCGAUGGGAGCUGAUUGCGGCGCGAACAUUCUCAACGAAUGUAAAAUUUUUUUUUGCAAAAUCUCUCUCUCUGAUCUCAAUCGCGUUCAAUUUCUUUGUGCCCUCCUUUGCCAUCAAGCGCGCCUUCGCGCCUUUUUUUUUUUUAUUGCGUCUCGCAUCCGCACUUUUUUUUCGCAUCAGCCUACUCAUGAAACGCUCUUCCUCCGAAAAGCCUUCUCGACCAUUCAAAAAAAAAAAGCUCGACGCCACCUCCCACGCUACCACGCCUACUGUUCCCUCGCUCGCCCAAUCCGCCAUCGACUACCUCAAAAAGACGCAUGAUGAACUCGAGGCGCACGACGACCAAUUCCACCUAGCCUGUUGGUAAGAGUAACCUUCGGCUCUUCCUCCUUCUGUCCUAACAUUUUUUUUUUUGGCCUCUCUCCUUCAGCUUCGAACGCGCUUCUCCAGAUGAGCGCCGAGCGGAAAACGCUGUUCAUAGACGCGCUUUGCGAGCUGAACCACCGAAUUUACUCUCUGCUCGCAGCCGGAAUCAAACACACCAAUAUCACGCCGCGAGAUUUUUUGGCGGAUUGCAGCCUCUCCACGGAAAGCCGCUAUGUUGAAUUGAACUCCUGGAAGAGUUUGAUUCUAGAAAACAAAAUUUUGAGAAGGGAAGCGAGGCAAGCGUACAAGCUGAAAAGCCCGUUAAAGUGCGAAGAGUCAAGUUCGUCCAACGAAUCUCGUGGCUCAAACUUGGCGGACUUGUUUAAGCGCCUGUCAAGCAACUGCUCGUCAAACGAAGCCUGUAUGAAAUUUCUAUUUUGUAAGGAGACAGAUCCAUCUCUUGUCGUUUGUCAAACAGUCAAUCACUACAUCGACCAGUUGAGCAACGGUUUGAACCCUUUCGUCGAGCGAUAGCCCGCAAAUGUUAACGACUUUAAAAGUUGUCAUUUUUCACCACGCAGAGCUGUCUUUGGUGAACGCGCUUCGGCAGUUCGCGAACACGGUUUUCAGCGUUGCGCCUCUCAAAACAGCAGCCCUGUACGACGGCUCCCGAACGCGUUUUACGGCUGCGCACUUCCAUGCAAAAGUGCGCUCGGAGAAACGAACGCAGGCGGUCUCGAACAGGCCGCGCGAGAAUCUAUUGGGAUCCGAACGCGACGCGCGUCUUCGGCAUGUUUAGAGAAAUAAAUGUCGCAGCCGUUAUUGGGGUCAUUUUUUUUUGGCGUGCACAGAGUUUUUUCUUCAUGUUUGCUAAUUGGGCGACUACAACUGUCGGCGUCCGUGCUUCGAGGAAACGCUGUAUGAUGCUCAAAGCAGAAAACCGCUUCGUCAAGCACGAGGCGGACAAAAGCAGAUUUGUCAUUGAGUUCGUGAACGAAGAACCCGCAUUUCUACAGUACAAGAGGGUUGGCAAUACCUUUGAUCUGUACCACACGUUCGUUCCUCUUAGUAGGAGAGGGCGUGGUCUGGGAGAGGAACUUGCCCAUUCAGCGUUCUCGCACGUCAAGGCGCUGAAUGGAGUUGUGGAGCCGUCUUGUUCUUACAUCAGAAACAGGUUUCUCGUCGACCACAAGGAAUGGGAGAGCCUGGUCAAGAAGUAACGCAUUUGAAGCCCCGCAAACGCCUCCGAUGGUCGCGAUGUCUGCUUUUUCGCAAA